rnacentral:rRNA from 1 species
AUGAGCAUGGCCGCAUCACGGCAGAUCUCCACGGCCGAGCUGCGGCUCUGCAUCAAGGAGGCGCUGGGCGGCGACAUGUCGACCGAGGAGGUGCAGGCCCUGAUGGCCUCCGCAGAUACCGAUGGCGACGGGCUGCUGGACGAGGAGGGGUUCCUGAGGCUGGUGCGGGAGGCUGAGGCCGGCCACGAGGAAGAGGAAAACAGGUGCAGGGAGGCGUUCGGGGUGUACGAGAUGGAAGGGAGGGGCUGCAUCACCCCGCUCAGCCUCAAGCUGAUGAUGAGCAGGCUAGGCCUGCACCUGGAAGUCGACGUCUCGACGAGUGUCAGGUUAUGA